rnacentral:rRNA from 1 species
UCUGUCCUCGGGCCCGAGUUGUAAUUGCAGAGGAUGCUUUGGCGACGUGCCUACCGAGUUCCCUGGAACGGGACGCCAUAGAGGGUGAGAGCCCCGUACGGUAGUGUCACCGAGCCUCUGUAAAGCUCCUUCGACGAGUCGAGUAGUUUGGGAAUGCUGCUCUAAAUGGGAGGUGUAUGUCUUCUAAAGCUAAAUACCGGCCAGAGACCGAUAGCGCACAAGUAGAGUGAUCGAAAGAUGAAAAGUACUCUGAAGAGAGAGUUAAACAGCACGUGAAAUUGUUGAAGGGGAAGCGUUUAUGACCAGACUUGGGGUCUGCCGAUCAACCAGCGUUCUCGCUGGUGCACUCGGUAGGCUCUAGGCCAGCAUCGGUUCGCGCCGGGGGAUAAAGGCUUCGGGAACGUAGCUCCUUCGGGAGUGUUAUAGCCCGUUGCGUAAUACCCUGGUGCGGACUGAGGAACGCGCUUCGGCACGGAUGCUGGCGUAAUGGUCACCAACGACCCGUCUUGAAACACGGACCAAGGAGUCGUCCUCGUAUGCGAGUGUUCGGGUGUCAAACCCCUACGCGGAAUGAAAGUGAACGCAGGUGAGAGCUUCGGCGCAUCACCGACCGAUCCUGAUGUUCUCGGAUGGAUUUGAGUAAGAGCAUACGGGGCCGGACCCGAAAGAAGGUGAACUAUGCCUGUGUAGGGUGAAGCCAGAGGAAACUCUGGUGGAGGCUCGCAGCGGUUCUGACGUGCAAAUCGAUCGUCAAACAUGGGCAUGGGGGCGAAAGACUAAUCGAACCUUCUAGUAGCUGGUUCCCGCCGAAGUUUCCCUCAGGAUAGCAGUGUUGAAUUCAGUUUUAUGAGGUAAAGCGAAUGAUUAGGGACCAGGGGGCGCUAUUUAGCCUUCAUCCAUUCUCAAACUUUAAAUAUGUAAGAAGCCCUUGUUUCUUAACUGAACGUGGGCAUUCGAAGAUCAAC